UCGGUUAUCAUGGGUUUAAGUUAAAAUGGUUAAAUUUAAAGUUACGAGCUUAAGGACUAAGUUGUGAAAAAGUUAAAAUAGGAAGGAUAAUUUUGUAAUUUCAUGAUAAUAUGAAUUAUAGAUUGAAUUGAAUACUUGAGGUUAUUUGAAGUACUUAGUUGAAUGAAAUUAUUUAUUUAGAUCAAGAUAAGCAACAACUGGACUUAAAUCGGGGAAAAAUAAAAGCUUUGGAUUAGUCUCCAACUCUACUUUUGCGACUAUAGUUAUCGAGGUAAGUUCGUAUGAAUUAUUUACUCUUAGGGAAGAAUCGGUUAUCAUGGGUUUAAGUUAAAAUGGUUACAUUUAAAGUUACGAGCUUAAGGACUAAGUUGUGAAAAAGUUAAAAUAGAAAGGAUAAUUUUGUAAUUUCAUGAUAAUAUGAAUUAUAGAUUGAAUUGGAUACUUGAGGUUAUUUGAAGUACUUAAUUGAAUGAAAUUAUUUAUUUAGAUCAAGAUAAGCAACAACUGGACUUAAAUCGGGGAAAAAUAAAAGCUUUGGAUUAGUCUCCAACUCUACUUUUGCGACUAUAGUUAUCGAGGUAAGUUCGUAUGAAUUAUUUACUCUUAGGGAAGAAUCGGUUAUCAUGGGUUUAAGUUAAAAUGGUUACAUUUAAAGUUACGAGCUUAAGGACUAAGUUGUGAAAAAGUUAAAAUAGAAAGGAUAAUUUUGUAAUUUCAUGAUAAUAUGAAUUAUAGAUUGAAUUGGAUACUUGAGGUUAUUUGAAGUACUUAAUUGAAUGAAAUUAUUUAUUUAGAUCAAGAUAAGCAACAACUGGACUUAAAUCGGGGAAAAAUAAAAGCUUUGGAUUAGUCUCCAACUCUACUUUUGCGACUAUAGUUAUCGAGGUAAGUUCGUAUGAAUUAUUUACUCUUAGGGAAGAAUCGGUUAUCAUGGGUUUAAGUUAAAAUGGUUACAUUUAAAGUUACGAGCUUAAGGACUAAGUUGUGAAAAAGUUAAAAUAGAAAGGAUAAUUUUGUAAUUUCAUGAUAAUAUGAAUUAUAGAUUGAAUUGGAUACUUGAGGUUAUUUGAAGUACUUAAUUGAAUGAAA